rnacentral:rRNA from 1 species
UGGAGAGUUUGAUCCUGGCUCAGGACGAACGCUGGCGGCGUGCUUAACACAUGCAAGUCGAGCGGUAAGGCCCUUCGGGGUACACGAGCGGCGAACGGGUGAGUAACACGUGGGUGAUCUGCCUCGCACUCUGGGAUAAGCCUGGGAAACUGGGUCUAAUACCGGAUAUGACCGCGAAUCGCAUGGUUUGUGGUGGAAAGAUUUAUCGGUGCGAGAUGGGCCCGCGGCCUAUCAGCUUGUUGGUGGGGUAAUGGCCUACCAAGGCGACGACGGGUAGCCGGCCUGAGAGGGCGACCGGCCACACUGGGACUGAGACACGGCCCAGACUCCUACGGGAGGCAGCAGUGGGGAAUAUUGCACAAUGGGCGGAAGCCUGAUGCAGCGACGCCGCGUGAGGGAUGACGGCCUUCGGGUUGUAAACCUCUUUCGACAGGGACGAAGCGCAAGUGACGGUACCUGUAGAAGAAGCACCGGCCAACUACGUGCCAGCAGCCGCGGUA